rnacentral:rRNA from 1 species
UAUGGGUUGUAAACUUCUUUUGUAUAGGGAUAAACCUANAUACGUGUAUCUAGCUGAAGGUACUAUACNAAUAANCACCGGCUAACUCCGUGCCAGCAGCCGCGGUAAUACGGAGGGUGCAAGCGUUAUCCGGAUUUAUUGGGUUUAAAGGGUCCGUAGGCGGAUUUGUAAGUCAGUGGUGAAAUCUCACAGCUUAACUGUGAAACUGCCAUUGAUACUGCAAGUCUUGAGUGUUGUUGAAGUANCUGGAAUAANUAGUGUAGCGGUGAAAUGCAUAGAUAUUACUUAGAACACCAAUUGCGAAGGCAGGUUACUAAGCAACAACUGACGCUGAUGGACGAAAGCGUGGGGAGCGAACAGGAUUANAUACCCUGGUAGUCCACGCCGUAAACGAUGCUAACUCGUUUUUGGANNGCAAGCUUCAGAGACUAAGCGAAAGUGAUAAGUUAGCCACCUGGGGAGUACGAACG